AUUGAACGCUGGCGGCAGGCCUAACACAUGCAAGUCGAGCGAGCGGCGGACGGGUGAGUAAUGUGUGGGAAAAUGCCUGAUGGAGGGGGAUAACUACUGGAAACGGUAGCUAAUACCGCAUACGAUCAGAUAUGCCCAGAGGGGAUUAGCUAGUAGGGGGGGUAACGGCUCACCUAGGCGACGAUCCCUAGCUGGUCUGAGAGGAUGACCAGCCACACUUGAACUGAGACACGGUCCAGACUCCUACGGGAGGCAGCAGUGGGGAAUAUUGCACAAUGGGCGCAAGCCGGAUGCAGCCAUGCCGCGUGUAUGAAGAAGGCCUUCGGGUUGUAAAGUACUUUCAGCGGGGAGGCGUUACCCGCAGAAGAAGCACCGGCUAACUCCGUGCCAGCAGCCGCGGUAAUUC
rnacentral:rRNA from 1 species